ACCAAUUAUUUUUCUUUUUGCCUUCCAUUUUUUGACUGGUAGUAGCAUUCAAGAAGACAUGUUGUAAUCAAAUACCACAGUUUUCUAUUUUUGAUUAUUUGUCCAAUUCAUUUAGCAAGCGUUUCAUUUUGUAAUAAUGAUUUUUUGUGCCAUGCAGGGAACCGUGUUAAGUGCAUUGUUACGCCUCUUCUCUAAUGUUUUCGAUGUUGGGAACUGUUAGAUUGAU
rnacentral:lncRNA from 1 species